AGCUUUGCGCAGUGGCAGUAUCAUAGCCAAUGAGGUUUAUCCGAGGCGCGAUUAUUGCUAAUUAAAAUUUAUACAGGACAAUAUAAAAGGACAUGCUUAGUACACAUUUUCAUUCAAAAAUUACUUAACAAAAGAAUGAUUA